CCUACGGGUGGCAGCAGUGGGGAAUAUUGGGCAAUGGAGGAAACUCUGACCCAGCAACGCCGCGUGAAUGAUGAAGGUCUUCGGAUUGUAAAGUUCUUUUCUAAAGGAAGAAGAAAGUGACGGUACCUUCGGAAUAAGCCUCGGCUAACUACGUUCCAGCAGCCGCGGUAAUACGUAGGAGGCGAGCGUUAUCCGGAAUGACUGGGCGUAAAGGGUGCGUAGGUGGUUUGGCAAGUUAGUAGCGUAACUCCAAGGCUGAACCGUGGAACUACUACUAAAACUGUUGGACUUGAGUGCGGGAGGGGCAAGCGGAAUUCCUGGUGUAGCGGUGGAAUGCGUAGAUAUUAGGAGGAACACCAGUGGCGAAGGCGGGUUGCUAGACUGUAACUGACACUGAGGCACGAAAGCGUGGGGAGCAAACAGGAUUAGAUACCCUUGUAGUC
rnacentral:rRNA from 1 species